rnacentral:rRNA from 1 species
GAUGAACGCUGGCGGCGUGCCUAAUACAUGCAAGUCGAGCGAACAGAUGAGGAGCUUGCUCCUCUGACGUUAGCGGCGGACGGGUGAGUAACACGUGGAUAACCUACCUAUAAGACUGGGAUAACUUCGGGAAACCGGAGCUAAUACCGGAUAAUAUAUUGAACCGCAUGGUUCAAUAGUGAAAGACGGUUUUGCUGUCACUUAUAGAUGGAUCCGCGCCGCAUUAGCUAGUUGGUAAGGUAACGGCUUACCAAGGCAACGAUGCGUAGCCGACCUGAGAGGGUGAUCGGCCACACUGGAACUGAGACGCGGUCCAGACUCCUACGGGAGGCAGCAGUAGGGAAUCGUCCGCAAUGGGCGAAAGCCUGACGGAGCAACGCCGCGUGAGUGAUGAAGGUCUUCGGAUCGUAAAACGCUGUUAUUAGGGAAGAACAAAUGUGUAAGUAACUAUGCACGUCUUGACGGUACCUAAUCAGAAAGCCACGGCUAACUACGUG